rnacentral:rRNA from 1 species
UCGAGCGGUAGAGAGAAGCUUGCUUCUCUUGAGAGCGGCGGACGGGUGAGUAAUGCCUAGGAAUCUGCCUGGUAGUGGGGGAUAACGUUCGGAAACGGACGCUAAUACCGCAUACGUCCUACGGGAGAAAGCAGGGGACCUUCGGGCCUUGCGCUAUCAGAUGAGCCUAGGUCGGAUUAGCUAGUUGGUGAGGUAAUGGCUCACCAAGGCGACGAUCCCUAGCUGGUCUGAGAGGAUGAUCAGCCACACUGGAACUGAGACACGGUCCAGACUCCUACGGGAGGCAGCAGUGGGGAAUAUUGCACAAUGGGCGCAAGCCUGAUGCAGCCAUGCCGCGUGUAUGAAGAAGGCCUUCGGGUUGUAAAGCACUUUCAGUCGUGAGGAAGGUGGUAGUGUUAAUAGCACUAUCAUUUGACGUUAGCGACAGAAGAAGCACCGGCUAACUCCGUGCCAGCAGCCGCGGUAAU